UACGGGGGGAGCAAGCGUUGUUCGGAUUUACUGGGCGUAAAGGGCGCGUAGGCGGUCAGCACAAGUCAGUUGUGAAAUCUCCGGGCUUAACUCGGAAAGGUCAACUGAUACUGUGCGACUAGAGUGCGGAAGGGGCAACUGGAAUUCUCGGUGUAGCGGUGAAAUGCGUAGAUAUCAGGAGGAACACCUGCGGUGUAGACGGCUUACUGGACCAUAACUGACGCUGAGGCACGAAAGCGUGGGUAGCAAACAGG
rnacentral:rRNA from 1 species